rnacentral:rRNA from 1 species
AUUGAACGCUGGCGGCAUGCCUUACACAUGCAAGUCGGACGGCAGCACGGGGCAACCUGGUGGCGAGUGGCGAACGGGUGAGUAAUGCAUCGGAACGUGCCAUUGAGUGGGGGAUAACGUAGCGAAAGUUGCGCUAAUACCGCAUAUUCUGUGAGCAGGAAAGCAGGGACCGCAAGGCCUUGCGCUCUUUGAGCGGCCGAUGUCAGAUUAGCUAGUUGGUGAGGUAACGGCUUACCAAGGCGACGAUCUGUAGCGGGUCUGAGAGGAUGAUCCGCCACACUGGAACUGAGACACGGUCCAGACUCCUACGGGAGGCAGCA